GAUGUCGACUUGGAGGUUGUGCCCUUGAGGCGUGGCUUCCGGAGCUAACGCGUUAAGUCGACCGCCUGGGGAGUACGGCCGCAAGGUUAAAACUCAAAUGAAUUGACGGGGGCCCGCACAAGCGGUGGAGCAUGUGGUUUAAUUCGAUGCAACGCGAAGAACCUUACCUGGUCUUGACAUCCACAGAACUUUCCAGAGAUGGAUUGGUGCCUUCGGGAACUGUGAGACAGGUGCUGCAUGGCUGUCGUCAGCUCGUGUUGUGAAAUGUUGGGUUAAGUCCCGCAACGAGCGCAACCCUUAUCCUUUGUUGCCAGCGGUCCGGCCGGGAACUCAAAGGAGACUGCCAGUGAUAAACUGGAGGAAGGUGGGGAUGACGUCAAGUCAUCAUGGCCCUUACGACCAGGGCUACACACGUGCUACAAUGGCGCAUACAAAGAGAAGCGACCUCGCGAGAGCAAGCGGACCUCAUAAAGUGCGUCGUAGUCCGGAUUGGAGUCUGCAACUCGACUCCAUGAAGUCGGAAUCGCUAGUAAUCGUGGAUCAGAAUGCCACGGUGAAUACGUUCCCGGGCCUUGUACACAC
rnacentral:rRNA from 1 species